GGCUGUUUAUUGAUAUUUUCCUAGCCUGGCGGUGGAUAGUCCCUUUUCAACUGCAAGUGAUAACUUGAUCGUUGCAUUGUGACAAGUGGAGGAAAAGAAGGAAAUACCUUCUGUUGUUUACCAGUUCAAUUCUUCCAUCAACUUUUUCUGCAAGGCCAAAAUGAUGGAUGAUGCAUUGAAGACGUACAGAAGAAUGCAAGAGAUGAAAAUUCAACCCACUGAGCAAACACUUACCUAUCUGUUAUAUGCGAUCUUGUGGGGGAACAUUAAGAGGAAUAUGGAGAGUGGAAAUUUGGUGGUAAGCAGAGAUCUACAUGAGUACUUGCUACUGAACUGUCUUCGUGGUGGCUACUUUGAGAGAGUGAUGGUGGUCCUUGACUUUAUGAAGGAACAUGGCAUGUGCACCGACAAGUGGUUGUACAGGAGUGAGUUUGUAAAACUUGAUAAGAAUCUUUAUAGGAAUUUAAAGGCGUCAGAAGCCAGAACUGAGGCUCAGUUGAUUGAAGAGAAGUUCAAUAUGAACUGGGAUGAUUUACUGCAAGAAAAGCCAUUUAUGGUGCACUGCGACUCUCAUUGACCUAAACCAAUUACCUUCUACAGCUCCGAGUUUCCUAAACUAACACUGAUUUAAAGUUAGGGGAGCAGUGUAACUGCCAUCAACUCCUAUAACUCUUUUCCUUAAGUUUAGGUUAGUUCCCUCUUAAUUAGGUGUUCUUCAGAGUUCCUACCUAGAACUCCCUUAUAAACUAGAAAGUUGAAGGUUUUGCAACAGCGAAUAUGGAAGAUGCAUUAUGGUUCUCAGGUGAAACCAAACUCAUACUCCAUUUGUAAUGUCUGAAUCAUGCCGGGGAGGGACAUGCCAUCAUGGAAUACAAUGAUUACUGGUUUCAUUCAGAAUGGGGAUUUAAAGCGGGCGAAGGAGUUGUUUAUUCAAAUGCCGCAAAAGAAUGUCAUCUCAUGGACUACGAUGAUCACAGGGUAUGUACAAGAUGGGCAAAAUGAAAAAGCAUUGAUGAUUUUUUCAAAAAUGCUGGUGGAUAAUGGAGUGAAACCAAAUCAGGGAACUUUUGUGAAUGUUCCAAGUGCUUGUAGUAACCGAGCUGGUUUCAGUGAGGGACAAUAAAUACACCAGAUGAUAAGUAAAACAGUGCCCAAAAAAAAAAAAAAAAAA